ensembl:miRNA cja-mir-9906 cja-mir-9906
GGCACUGUCUGGUUCAUUCUCCAGUGUUUCUUUAAUGCCCGGGCACAGACUAGGUGCCAGGAACUAAAGAAGCAUUGGAGAAUGAAAUAGACUUCAUCGUGCC